rnacentral:RNase_P_RNA from 1 species
UGAGUAGCACAGAUGAUUGCGGCUGUAAUUGCCGAAAGGCAGCAGGUGAGGAAAGUCCGGGCUCCGUAGGGCAGGGUGCCAGAUAACGUCUGGUGGAGGCGACUCCAAGGAAAGUGCAACAGAAAUAAACUGCCAAUAUCAAUAUAUUGGUGAUGGUGGAAAGGCAGUGUAAGAGACUACCGCAAGGCUGGUAACAGUUUUGGCUAUGUAAACCCCACUCGGAGCAAGACCAAGAUAAAAGCGAUACGGCUGCCCGUCGUGCUUUUAGGUAGGUUGCUUGAUUUUACUGGCGACAGUAAAACUAGAUAGAUAAUCAUCACACGAUUGCGUGGACAUAACCCGGCUUAUCGUGCUGCUCAUUUU